UAUAAACAAAACAAACAUAUCUAGGGUUUAGGGUUGAACCCUAGGGUUUAGGGUUAGAUGGGGUUUAGGGUCAAGUAGGGUUUAAGGUUAGGUGGGGUUUAGGGUUAGGUGGGGUUUAGGUAGGGUUUAGGGUUAGAUAGGGUUUAGGGUUAGAUAGGGUUUAGGUAGGGUUUAGGGUUAGAUAUAGGGUUUAGGGUUAGAUGGGGUUUAGGGUUAGAUAGGGUUUAGGGUUAGGUAGGGUUUAGGGUUAGAUGGGGUUUAGGGUUAGAUGGGGUUUAGGGUUAGGGUUAGGUAGGGUUUAGGGUUAGAUGGGCUUUAGGGUUAGAAGGGGUUUAGGGUUAGGUAGGGUUCAAGGUUAGAUGGGGUUUAGGGUUAGAUAGGGUUUAGGGUUAGAUGGGGGUUAGGGUUUAAGGAGAUGGGGUUUAGGGUUAGAUGGGGUUUAGGGUUAAAUAGGGUUUAGGGUUAGAUUGGUUUUGGGGUUGGGGUUUAGGGUUGAAUUCUAGGGUUUAGGGUUGAUUUCUAUAAUUUACGGUUUUGGAUUUAGAGUUUAAACUUUGAUAUUAAUAAUGAUUUUUUUUUCUUCUUUGUUAAUUAAUCAAAAUAAUAUUUUAAAAAAUUUAGGAAAAAAUCAGUAUUGCCAAAUUAAUUUCUUGCUGAACAUAAGUGUAUAAAUAAAACAAACAUAUUAUUUCUAACAAUCAAUUAAUU
rnacentral:lncRNA from 1 species